ACUUUACUAGGUUCCAGGGAUACUAGGCAAAAAAAAAAAAACCUAUUCUCUCCAUGUGCUUAUAUCCUAGAGAGCAGAAGGUCUACAUACAAAAUGUACAUAAAUAUUAAUAGAUAUAAAUGACAUGUUAGGGAGUACAUCAGGGGAAUUCCAAAAUUGACUUGUUAACCUUAUGGGGUAGUAAGCCUAUUUGAUAUUUUUGAAAGCAGAUACUUAUAAAGACUUUGGACAAGCCUACUGAUGCUUUCUUUGUUCAACAAUGAUAGAAGACUUCCAGAAUAAGAUUCAGUGACGGGGGCUGUCCUGAAUAGAAUUGUCCUGAUCCUUGGCAUGAGGAAUUUUGUUUGCAGGAUCUUUCCUUUGGGGGGGGGCAGUAGGUUUCACUGAAGAUGCAUUUAAACAUCUUUUGCUUGUUUGUUUUGGUCUUUUCUCCUUUCUAGAAAGAUGUGGAGAGUGCAGAAGGGAGAGGAUGGGGAUUCUAUCCUCACUAAGAGAAGUUAAUGGCUACCUUGGAGAUAUAUACUUGAAUACAAAGCCCAAGAAGGAACUUUAGUCUCCAGUUUAGAGGAAGGGGAAUUUCCUGGGUAACAUAAAUCUUAGGGGGUGUCUCAUGUUUUAGAGUCUUGACAUCCCAGGAUCAAAUCUUCUGGUCAAAUAAGAAGAGUUUUGUAGACAAUGUGAACCGCACACCCCAUAAUGCCCUUUAUGACAAUAGAGAAAGCAAGGAGAGUGGUUGGUUCUUAGUAACACCAACCAAAUGGAUCUAGCCGAAAAUUGUGAGAUACUUUAUAGUUGUUAUUUAAAUUGGAUCAAAAUUAUACAAGAAAACCAGAUAAGAUUCAGUGAGCAAUGUCAGGGGAAUUUCCUGAGCAGCAAAGAGCAGUUGGCUCCAUCCAGGGAAGAACAAAAGUAGGGAAUCAAAGGAGCGUGGAUAAUGAAGAGAAGUGUUGUCUGAUACUCAUAAUAGAGUUGGGAAAAGCACAUUUCAAAGGAUUGAGAGAAGAGAGAGUACCACUUGUCUGUUGAUUGUCCAUUGAUUGAUUAAUUGACCAUUAAAAGAUGGAAAGUCUUUUAAAAUAGUGGAAUCAAACUGAAAUAGAACCAUUAAAAGAUGGAAAGUCUUUUAAAAUAGUGGAAUCAAACUGAAAUAGAAAGACCGGACACUAAAGCAUACAUCAAGUUUCCUGUGGACCUCUGAUUGGUUUAGAAAACAGUAUGUUAACAUUAUCCCCAUUCUAUUGAAUUUUAAUUUGUUUUGUUAAAUAUUUCCCAAUUACAUUUGAAUCUAGUUCUGGUAGCCUUGGGGAGGGAACAUCACAGGCAGUUUCACAACAUUACUUUAGAAUAUCCUUAAGAUUUUGCCACAGUGAGUAAUAUGUGAUAGGCACCUACCUACCAGGAUACCUUCUCCUUCCACUACACAGGUUAGCAUAGUUAUUCCCUGAAAGAUUACAGUGCUAUGUGCAGGUAGGUGUCUCAGUGAAUAAGAGAGCCAGGCUGGGAGAUGGGAGGUCUAUGGUUCAAAUAUAGUCUCAGACACUUCCUAGCUGUGUGACCAUGGGUGAAAAAUCACUUAACCCCAACUGUCCAUCACUUAGUGCUCUUCUGCUUUGGAACUGAUACUUAGAAUUGAUUCUAAGAUGGAAGGUAAGAGUUAAAAAAAACUCUCCCCAAACAAAAUUGUCCUCAGGAGUUGACUGAGCCAGGGACAAAGGCUGAACUUGACCCCCCACCCCCGACAUAGAUUUAUGGUAGCUUCCAGCCAUAUUGAUAUGACUUAUUGGCAACCUAGGACACCCAGGGGAAAUUAAGGCCAUUCAGAAUUGAUAUAUAUUCCAGGACCAUAUGAGUCACUACUCUAUGGACCAAAUGAAUUUUCAUAUAGAGAGGAGGACGGAGUUCGUAUAUUUAUUAAACUAGAAUAUCAUUGUUAAAUAUCCAAUCCCAUGAUGUGAAUAAGUAGAGUUUAUUAUCCCUUGAAUUAUGUAUACAUGCCUCAUUUUAUCCUAAUCUCUAACCUCAUUAA
ensembl:lncRNA